rnacentral:rRNA from 1 species
AUUGAACGCUGGCGGCAUGCUUUACACAUGCAAGUCGAACGGCAGCGGGGGCUUCGGCCUGCCGGCGAGUGGCGAACGGGUGAGUAAUGCAUCGGAACGUACCCAGUCAUGGGGGAUAACUACGCGAAAGCGUAGCUAAUACCGCAUACGCCCUGAGGGGGAAAAGCGGGGGAUCGCAAGACCUCGCGUGAUUGGAGCGGCCGAUGUCGGAUUAGCUAGUUGGUGGGGUAAAGGCCUACCAAGGCGACGAUCCGUAGCGGGUCUGAGAGGAUGAUCCGCCACACUGGGACUGAGACACGGCCCAGACUCCUACGGGAGGCAGCAGUGGGGGAAUUUUGGGACAAUGGGGGCAACCCUGAUCCAGCCAUGCCGCGUGAGUGAAGAAGGCCUUCGGGUUGU